rnacentral:tRNA from 1 species
GGGGUUGUAGCUCAGUGGUAGAGUGCUUGCCUAGUGUACAUGAGGCACUGGGUUUGAUCCUCAGCUCCA